UUGAUGUAGUUUUUUUUUCAUCAUUUCCACUCAUGACUCUGUUUUCUUUGAUCUUCUAUCUUUUUUUUCUAUGGUUAUCUCUGAUUUUCUGGGCAUUGGAUGAUUGUUUGAGCAUGUGAUGACGUAUUACUUUUCUCUUACAUUGUUUAUCUGAAUAUGGCUCACUCCUAUGAUGGAAUUUUGUUGAUGCUUUCAUCUUGAUAUUUGUUAUGACUUGUCUUGUUGCACCACUGGUUGGGGAACCCUUGAUUUCAACUUGAAAGGGGAUCCCACUAUGGCUCUGCUCACCUUAUCUAUUGGGUUUUAAGUAAGUUGUGUUUUGUCUUGCUCUCUCACCUCUAUUUCCGGUGCCUCAACCCAUAUCUCUGCUCUCUGGUUCAUAUUUUUGGAUCUGCUCUGGAUGAUCGUUUGCCUGUUCUGACCUGUGCUUGAGAAUGAGAGGGCUGCGCGUUAGCUUACUACCCCAAAUCUGUGACCUUAGUGGACAAGACAUAUGCCUGGUUUACAUCAGCCGCUAUUCUAGCUGUUAGGUUUGCCAUUGAUACAGAAAGCUAUAUUCUCCUUUGGUGGCAGCGAGAGUAAAACGGGGUCGGGCUCCAUUAGGACAUGCCAUGUGUGGAUGUUCUCACAUGUUUAUAUUAUGCUCCUCACAAUUUCCAGGUGUUGCUUUAAGCCUGUUUUAUUCCUUGUCAUAAUAGCAAGUGAAAGAGAUCAUAAUGAAGGAGAUUUGACCAUGGAAUAAUCCAAAGAACCAGAAUUCAAGAGUUAGAGAUGCCAUGAGAGGUAUUAAUGGUUUACGGAACUCAAAAGCUCUUCUGUAACCUCUCAUCCUCUCACUCAGAGUCUCUGUUCCUCGGGUCUAAGCCAUGACCAGUGAGAGAGAGAGAGAUACGCAGACAAUAGAGGUGUGGCAAUUCUUCUCUACUGUAUCGACUAAUGAAGGGUCCUCAGGCACUGGUGAGGCAGAGAUUAAAGCCGCCAUAGGACUAUCUGGGCAUGGUUUCAACUCUGUUUGUAUUAUAAGGAUUUUCCUAACUCGGUCACACAUGGUUAAAGCUCAGGAUGGUAUGAAGGCUGCAUUGGGAUGCAUGACUGAAAAUGACUGUGGAUAGUACAUGUAUGAUACUGUCAAGGGAAGGGACUGGUUAGGUGUCCAGGAUGCUAUUCAGUAAGUGUGUGGGGAGGCACCAGAAGCAGUGAUAAGGCUUGAGAACUACACCUCCAGUUUGGGUGCAUGGAAGCCUUAUCCACCGCCACCGAUGUAUUCCAGACCUGGGAAGUCGUCACAUGACUUGCUUAGUGACAGCCAAUGCAAUUCCAUCUCAAGAGACACAGUUGGCCCUGAGGAUGCGUUUAGGGGGUUUCCAUCUAAUUCGAGUCCAUCCUGAAGUCUUCCAUCCGCUGACCUGGUGCCUCCAUCAGUCCCGGAUGGUGAUAUUCAUGAGCUUCCUAGGCUCCCCUUCUAGUUUGACCUUGAAACCUUCAAGACCUUCAAGUGGGAUAGGUCAUCCUGCCUCCUUUUGGUUGCCAGUGAUCCCAACCUUUUUUUUUAUAUACUAUAAAUAAAUUGGUGGUAUCAGGUACAACAUUUCGGUUGCCAUUACCUCUGCAAGCUGUUCCUCUCAGUUUCUCCACCCCCUCAAGUGAUCAGAAAAUGAAGACAUCCAGCAUGCGCCAACUUCUUCUGUCAAUGAUAAUAGUCAACUUGAAAAUGCCGAAUGAUUUUAAGUAACUCCAUGGGAUAUAAAUACAUUGUUCCAGACAUUGUUCCAAGCAUGGAAGGGUAAGUUCGCAAGCAAUUUCAGCGUGUUCUCGAGAAACAAAAGAUGCAGUUCAUGUUCAGAAUAAAGGUAACAAGUGUUGAUACAUCUGGAGACCUUGUUAAAUUGACACUUGAACCAGCAGCCAGUGGUGAGCAGAGCACACUUGAGGCUGAUUUUGUUCCUGUCUCAGCUGGCGUCCGUGCUAUUGAUGAUGUAAUUCCAGGUUCCAUGUUAACUCACAAGGCAGAAGAGGAGGGGAGCUUAUAGGUGCAAGAGUUGACUGAAUUGGAGAGACAAGGACAAGGGAUGUCUGUGGUAAGAUAGAUGUGAUUUGUUACAGGCCACAACUGUUCACGGCUCGGACCAAGUGACUGUGCCAGCCGCUUCGUCUGAAUCGUACUGCACUUCUAAAUCUUGUUCUAGCGAACGUUGGAGAUGGAGCAAUAAUCAUAAACAAUCUACUUCAGCAUUUGAAAGAGCACAAAAACCCAGUAAUGGAAGGAGUUUUGGCUGACAUAGAGAGCAUGCUAGUUCAGGGAAGAAUGGAAUUGCCUCUCAGCUUGUGUUUUGCAGUUUUGAGAGGAGAUGACCUAUUGUUGUAUCAGUUGCUGAAACGUGGUUUGGAUCUAAACGAAUUGGACAGCAACGGAUGAAUUCCUCUGCAUAUUGCAGCGUUCAAAGGGAGAGCCAAAUCUAAAAAUAGAUUCUUGUUCUACCUAUUCAUAGGAAGAAGAACCCCCAGUGCAAAUUCAAAGUUCUGAAGUUUUGCUGCUUCCCUACAAGGAAGAAACAUCAACUGCUGUAGAGAUCACAACAGAACAAGUUGGGUCUUCAGUAGUUUCAGGCUCCAAUGCAGAAUUAUUGGACUUUGAUAGCUGGUUCACAAGGCUCCUCAUUCAUAUGGCCACCUCGGGGUACCUCUGAUCAGUCCUCGCCCAUAAUCAGUUUCAGUAUACUCAUGAUCUUGCAGUAUUCAUCACUCUGGUUCCGUUGGGAUUUUAGAGAAGGCAUGCAACUGGUGUUCAAGGUGCACCAAGUUCAGAAUCCCACUUGUGCACUGGACCUACAAGCAUGACCCGUUUUGCAUGGCCACCUUUGGCAUGCAACCAAGGGGCCACUUGUCAUCUUUCACUUCCCCCAUACCUCUUUGAUUUUGAAAAUAAUUCCCAAACUUCAUUUUGUAAUUCCAAAUUCUGUUUUGUUUUAAAAUAACUUCAAGUCUUCAAAGUUUUCAUCCUUAGAGUCUUUAGGUUCCACAAGACUCAUUUUCAAUAAAAUUUGGUUGCUAUUUCCUCUUCGGCAAGCCAUUUUCACAUUUUCUAUUUUUUUGAAAUGUUUUAAAAUAGGGAAAAUUAGGUUUUGGGCUCUUGAUAUGGAAUAUAUAUGGUUUUGAAAACCUAAGUGUAUAAAAUAUGAGAUGUCACUGUUAAUUGGUAAAAUAAUAUCCAAAACAUGCAUUAUGUCCUGUUUACUUUUCUUCUUCCCAGAUUGCCCCUAAAUUUCUCCAUGUCAUCAGCAAAUUAUCCCAUGUCAGCAGAACACAAAGAAACCCGACCCGAGAACCAGGAAUCUCUCUCUCUUCCCGUCAUUUUGCCCUAACCCCAUCUCAGGAAAUUCCCAAUUUCUAAAUUUCUCAUCUUCUUCCCACAAGCCCCUCGUUGAAUUUGCUAGCUACCUCUUCAUGUCGUGGCAUUUCGGUCGACAACCCUUCAAUCAAAUCUUUCUCAUAUUUCAGAUACGUGGGUUUUCAAAACCAUAUAUCUUCCAUAGCAGCCUGCAAUCACAACUUUCCCUUUUUAAUACACCUGCUUCACUUGCUCCAAUUUUAAAGUGCCCAAAAAAAUUUUCACUUGCGUAAUUUCCUCACGAAAAUGUCUUCCAUCGGAACUUCAAAGGGAAUCCUGGAAAUCGGAAAGUUCGCUUUCUAUGUCUCAAUCCCGAUUGAUCUGAUGUAUACUUUGGCAAACAAUUCCGAGAAUAUGAAGAAACUCGUCCAGAAGGUGGAUCAUGAGAGACAAAACUGAGGUGCAGAAUGGAAGACGAAUGUUGUGUGACAGAGAGUAUUCUUUGCAAUACUCGGUCAAAAUGGAGUUGGUUUGAGGUGAAUUUAGGUUAAAAGAUGAGUACUCCGGAUGCAACUCGAGCAGAACUUGCUCUUGUAAUUUUGUAUUUGAACAAAGCUGAAGCUAGGGAUAAGAUAUGCAGGGCAAUACAAUAUGGUUUGAAAAUUUGGCGUGAUGGACAGCCUGGUACUGCCCAAAAUGUUGACAAAUCAACCAGCUUGGCAUGGAAAGUUUUCCAUCUUUUUAAGGUUGGGUGAUACCGUACAUUGUGGUGUAAAACUUUUAUCUAUAUAUAUAUAUAUAUAUAUAUUAAUCUUGUCUCCUA